ACUGGACUUUUUUUUUUAAUCACUGCAUUAAUACAUUUAAUAGCCCCCCAUUAUUGAAGGGACUGGUUUAGAUCGAAGUUUUUUAACAGACUUAAGGAAAAGAAAGUUACUGCUCCCUUUGGAGAGCCUUCUGAUGACCUAAAAGUAAGCGCCAUCGCAGGUGGGUGUCGACUAUGUGUUACUUGCUAGCCAUGAACGAUCUCAUUUCAUACAACCAACUAAUAUAAACUUUAGGGUCAAUUAAAUGGGCUUUAAACUAUUAUCUAACUACCUCGAAAGUUCAAGAGCCCUUUUAUUAACAUUAUAUUCAGUGAAAUUUCUAUUUUAAAAAUUUUUUAAAGGUCACACGAUUAAUUUUGGCCUCUACGACCUGUUGAAUCUCUAAGCCAGGAAAUUGAACCCGGACACUCUGUGUUUCUUGAUCAGGCCAUUGGUCGGAAGACUAAGAGAGCUAGGUACAAACGUUCUAUGACGGAGUGGUUGGUCAUCCGAGUGGAAUUUGCCAUCUUCCUCUUGUAAUUCCCUUUAUUGAAAAACUGCGAGAUGCCUUUAAAGAAAACACCUCAUUCUUGGGAGAGCCUCAUCAUUUCUGUAGGGACCGUAGUCCCUAUUGAGGGCCCGUGGUUGAGCAACAGGGCCGAAAGCCUUAUGUAUUGCUCGUGGGAAGGUGACGUUAUCAACCUGAGUACGUUUUCCUAAGUGAUUCUGGUUAACGAGGCUGGUUUACUCCACGCGUCGGUUGCCUUAGCUACAGAUUACCACUGCUGGCGUAGUGAAGAAAAACACUGUCGGUGUAAAUAAGUGGUCAUGGCAUCGCUACGCAAGGACUCGGAAAAUUGCAAACAGCUGAUUUUAAUCAUCAUUCCUUGAUUGGCGACCAUCGAUAGGUCACAAGACAUCAAGGGUGCAAAGGAAACCGGCAACACUCUUCCAUUAUGCUUCCGUCCAUAAAAGAAUAACAAUUAUACCUAAGUUAAGUUUUCAGGUAUGCAAACGGAAACAUACUUGUUCAUUUAGUUAUAGAAUUAAACCUAA